rnacentral:rRNA from 1 species
UCGUGGUGUAAACUGUCUGCCUUAUUGCGUUAACGAGCGAGACGACCGCCCUGAUUCUCAGGGGAGCGCCAGCGCUGAGCUGGACGAACGUGGUCGCACUAGCA